rnacentral:rRNA from 1 species
AUAACAAUACAGGACUCUUUCGAGGCCCUGUAAUUGGAAUGAGUACACUUUAAAUCCUUUAACAAGGAUCUAUUGGAGGGCAAGUCUGGUGCAGAGCGACUGACCCGUGCGUGCUGCAGCUGAAA